rnacentral:rRNA from 1 species
GCUAAAAAUUUAGCCCCACCAACACCCCCCCCCCCCACCUUAACCAACCAAUUAAAACACUUUAACAGUCAAGUAUGGGCAAUAAAAAAACUAAUCAGAGCUAUAUAGGAAGUACCGCAAGGGAAAAAUGAAAUAAAAAUGAAAUAGACACUUAAGCACAAAAAAGUAGAGGCUAACCCUCGUACCUUUUGCAUGAUGGUCUAACUAGUCUUAAUCAAGCAAAAAGAAUUUUAGUUUGCCCCCCCGAAACUAAACGAGCUACUUCGAAGCAGCUUACAGCAAACCCGUCUCUGUUGCAAAAGAGUGGGACGACUUCCUAGUAGGGGUGAAAUGCCAAACGAGUUUAGUGAUAGCUGGUUACCCAGUAAAAGGAUACAAGUCCGACCUGAAGUCUUAUAAUGCCUAUAAACAAACCCCUUACUUCAGAUUUAGUCAAAUAAGGGACAACCUAUUUGAAACAGGAUACAACCCCAACUAACGGGUAAUUUUUAAACACACACGUAAGUAGGCCUAAAAGCAGCCAUCUUUGAUUGAAAGCCUCAGGCUUUCGUGCCACAAUGUUUAAUACUAAAAAUUAUAUAAACCCCUUAACCACCACUGGGUUAUUCUAUGCCCCCAUAGAACCAAUUAUGUUAGAACUAGUAACAAGAAGUAAAACUUCUCUUAAAUGUAAGUAUAAAUCAGUAAGGAUUAACCACUGAUAAUUAACACCUGAAAUUAAAGCAACAACACUACAAGAAACCCUUGCUUUAUCUGAUGUUGACCCCACACUAACACAUUUCAAGAAAGAUUCAAAGAAAAAGAAGGAACUCGGCAAAUUUAGACCUCGCCUGUUUACCAAAAACAUCGCCUCUUGUCACCUAUAAGAGGUCCUGCCUGCCCAGUGACCUAAUUCAACGGCCGCGGUAUCUUAACCGUGCGAAGGUAGCAUAAUCAAUCGUUCUUUAAAUGAGGACUAGUAUGAACGGCGUCACGAAGGCCUCACUGUCUCCUUUUUCAAAUCAGUGAAACUAAUCUCCCUGUGAAGAAGCGGGGAUAAAGUUAUAAGACGAGAAGACCCUGUGGAGCUUUAAACACAUAUAUUACCUGCUACCACAACACAGUAAGCUUGCCUAAUUAUAAGUUUUAGGUUGGGGCGACCCUGGAGUAAAAAACAACCUCCAAGUAGAAAGGAUCAACAUUCCUUAGCAAAAAACUUCAACUUGAUGCACCAAUAAAUUGACUUCAAUUGACCCAAUAUUUUGACCAACGAACCAAGUUACCCCAGGGAUAACAGCGCUAUCCACUUCAAGAGACCCUAUCAAAAAGUGGGCUUACGACCUCGAUGUUGGAUCAGGGUUUCCCAGUGGUGCAGCCGCUACUAACGGUUUGUUUGUUCAACAAUUAAAACCCU